UAAAUGCUUCAACUGAUUUUAUAGUCCUUUUCCACAAACAAGCAUCCACGAAUCAGAGGUUAGGAUUGCGUUGCAUUUUACAGGAUUCACAGGGCUGUCUUACAGACGCAGGUGAGGUUUUUGAGAUAAUGUAUAUUCAUUCACCCUUCUGUAGGUGGUUUUGUUCUUGUCUGACAGUCUUAAACUAAAGCCUUCAAAACCAUUUGAGUUUGGUUUGCUGUUAAACAAUGGCUUGUUUUCCAGAGCUUUAUAUGCACUGUUUGGUUAAAUUAUAGAAAUAUCUGAGCAACUGUGUUUGGAUUGUUGCUGGCGAGCAUAUUUCCUUUGUUUAUGAAUUCUUUGUUGCAUCUGCAUUCUUGUAUAUCCGGCCAGGCAGGCUGACCUGUGUUUUAAAGCCCAAGCUUUUUAGUACUAUAUCUGAAAACCUUACCAACACUUACCUUCAACAGCAAUGGUAAGAUGAAGAUUCCAGCAUGCCCCCCAAAAACUAGCACGUCAAUAUCAACGAGCUUCAUAUUCUUCUUUGGAAUAUGGAUGACGUCGAUGUCGAUUACGAUUUGAUUUUUAUAUGGAUGCCUAUUCAAAAAAUGAUGUAUGUAGAGUUGUUGGUUGACAUGAGCUAGUUUUUGGCUGCAGGUAGUUGAUUAUGGAGUUCACGGGCUUGGGGUAUUUCUUCUAUUACCUACCUUGUCAAUUCCAUGUUGAAUUGCCUCAUUUUCUCUUUGGAAGUGGUGUUCAUUUUCCUGUUAUUUCUGUUUUGUGGCAUGCCUUACACGACAUGAGAAGUGGUGUUCUGACCGUCUAGUUUUUCUUUCUUUGCAAAUUUGUUAUGGUAAUGUUAUUGUUGUAGGGGAUGACGCAACAGAUCCUCUAGUAUUGUGCACGUGAAUGGCUUGAAACCUAAGUGCAUAUGAUGUGUUUGAUACAAUGACAUCCAUAAAUGCUUAUACCAUGGAAUUGGAGGCUGAAGUUGCAAAACUUAAAAGAGGAGAACAAUGAAUUACAGAAGAAACAGUCUCUUGCAGUGGAUCAUGGCGAACCUGGUGAAGCAUCAGGAUGUGCAGGCGAAGCUGGUGGAAGAGAUCGAUUGGGUUGUGGGGGAUGGAUGAGAAAACAUUGAAGAGGAGGAUUUGCAGUGGAUGUCAUAUCUAAAGGCAGUGAUCAUUCUAGAAAAGAGCAAGGAAUUGUUGGAUUAUAGAAGCCUGGAAAUGAAAUGUUGAAUUGAAAUUGGAAAUUGGAAUUGAAGUUGAAAUGUGUACUGGAAAAGAAGGAAAAGAUUAAAGUGUGAAUCAUUCUAUUUUGUUUUUCUUUUAUUUGUGUAAUUAUCUGGCAUAUAAUACAAGUAGAUUACAUACCCCACUCUCUCUCUCAUACAAUGAACAAAGGGGUUUUAAAUUGUUCUUAAAAUUCUGUCCUAAAAUUCGAC